rnacentral:rRNA from 1 species
GACGAACGCUGGCGGCGUGCUUAACACAUGCAAGUCGAACGGAAAGGCCCUGCUUUUGUGGGGUGCUCGAGUGGCGAACGGGUGAGUAACACGUGAGUAACCUGCCCUUGACUUUGGGAUAACUUCAGGAAACUGGGGCUAAUACCGGAUAGGAGCUCCUGCUGCAUGGUGGGGGUUGGAAAGUUUCGGCGGUUGGGGAUGGACUCGCGGCUUAUCAGCUUGUUGGUGGGGUAGUGGCUUACCCAGGCUUUGACGGGUAGCCGGCCUGAGAGGGUGACCGGCCACAUUGGGACUGAGAUACGGCCCAGACUCCUACGUGAGGCAGCAGUGGGGAAUAUUGCACAAUGGGCGGAAGCCUGAGGCAGCAACGCCGCGUGCGGGAUGACGGCCUUCGGGUUGUAAACCGCUUUCGCCUGUGACGAAGCGUGAGUGACGGUAAUGGGUAAAGAAGCACCGGCUAACUACGUG